rnacentral:tRNA from 1 species
CGCAAGUUAAACUGAUAUGUUGUGCAUCUUCUUGUGUUGCAUAGUUGUCUACUAGCUGAAUAAGCAAGUUGUUCAAAUCAACUGCUUGCAAC